AAGUGGCAUCAAGCAUAGGCAUUAAAACCUGUCACAAGGUCCGACCUUAAUGCAACCUGAGAAGGAGAGAUCUUUAACACUGCAAGGUUAAGACCACAAAAUAUCUAGAAUUAUGACCAAACUACAGCUAUCUGUAACCUGUGUUAACUGAAGUAGAAGCUUCUUACUCCAGAGAGUCCUUUUCAGGGACAGGAAACAUCACACCUGCAUCAGGGAUACUGCUCCAUCAGAACAGGUCUCUGUUCUACCUGAUGGCCCAGACUCAGCCUAAGGUACUGGACCUGGAUCCCUAAGGGGUCAUCAGGUCUUGCUGUCUCUAGACUUGGUCUGGUCACCUUCUUUGGGGGAAGUUAAGAGCCCUGGCACAUGAAAAGAAAGAAGACAGUACCACACACCCAGGAAUCUGAAUUCCAGUCAUGCGAAGAGGAAGCUUCCAAGAGACAGUCUUCAAAGGAAGGAACAAAACCCCGAGUGUGGUUUGGGAAGUCUGGAAGGAGUUAUCCUCACCCAAGAGGAGGAGGUGUCCAUAGUUCUCUAACAUCACAUCUCUAUAGAGCUCCCGCUGACUGUGGUUCAGGAAACCCCACUCUUCCUGAGAGAAUUCUAUGGCCACAUCCUUGAAGGCAAAACACCCCAUGGGCUCCUGUGAUGGAAACAGAAAGUAUCCAACAAAAGGCAAUGACUGCCCUGAGGAAGAGCUUGGAUUGGCCUAGUUUGAGCUGAACCCCUGACUCACACCUCUGCAGAUGGACCAAGGAGUAACCCAGUCUCCUCGUGACUCGUUACCAUUACUCAUUAUAAUACUAAAAUCUCCAUCCAAGUAGGAACACAAACCUCAUUUAUAUAAGAUACAAAGUAUGUAAAGAACUGUUGUCUUAAGGAACAUGUGUGAUCUUAUGCCCACAUCUAUAUGACACGGCUUCUCUUUCUAAAUAUCCACCCUAACCCUAAAUAAAAGGAAACCAUUCCCCUUCCCUCUGUGUGUCUCUGCUUUGGAAGUUAUUGCCUGUGAUCUCCUUACUGGUGAAAAAUCAAGCUUCCUUUCCGUGGUGA